GGUUUUAUAGUGUUUAUUGGAAAAUUUAUUUUUAGUAGUUUGAGCGAAAUUUAUUUGUCUCCUAAAGAGGAUUGAGUACUGAGAAGGAAAGUUUAGUUAUUUAUUUAGAAUAUUAGGUUGGUUAGUACCUUUUGUAUUAGGGUUGAUUUAUGUGGUUUUGCUUUUGUUAUUUCUCGAUGAGUAUCGGGCUAUUUUUCCUUGAGGUGCUCUCGUUGUAUAGAGUUUGAUAGGGGAUUAUAGGUAUGAAAUAUUAUUCAAGUUGCUUUUUAUCUGGUUCUUUAAGAAAUUUAAUAGUCGGUAGUGUUAUUAUUACGAUAGACAGGGAUUAGCUUGUUUAUUUUUUAUAUUGUAUUUUAGUUGAGUUUUGUUUGUUAAGUUGAUAGUGCUUGUUUAAAUGGAGUUAUUAUUGAGCAGGUUGUUUUUAUAAUUUUUUGGUUUUGUUUUUGUAUUAAGGUUAUGUUAUGAAUUUAAAAUGGUUUGUAAUAAUGAUUGUAUUAGUAAUAAUUUUUAUUUUUGAUGUAUUUUUAGUUUUCUGGUUGUUGUAUUUGGUAGGAAUUAUUUUUAAAUUAGGAUUGAUGAAUUAGGCAAUAAGAACUUCUGACUGUUUAGCAAAGACAUUGUUUUUUGUUGUGGUAAAAAAUAAGUUCUGUCCACUGCUAUUAGGUGAAGGGCUGCAGUAUUUUGACUGUAUGAAGGUAGCAUAAUCAUUAGCUUCUUAAUUAGAAGCUGGUAUGAAGGUGAAACAGGGGUUUGCUGUAUUUUUUCUAUUUGUUGAAUUUUAUUUUCAUGUGAAAAAUCAUGAUUGAGUUAAUGGGACAAGAAGACCCUAAUAAGUUUUAUUUUCUUCUUUAAUGCGUGUAUAGGUUUUAAUUUGUGCAAUUUAUUUUUGGGGGUUUGGCUGGGGCGGCAUUUUAUUUGACAUAGAUUAAUUUUUAACUUAGUGUGGCGGUAUUUGGACCUAGUUUGUUUAUAUAAGUGUAAAACUACUGUAGGGAUAACAGCNGUGAUUUUUUUUGAGAGUUCUAAUUGACAAUAAA
rnacentral:rRNA from 1 species